rnacentral:tRNA from 1 species
GCCUGACUGGCUCAGGUGGAAGAGCAUGAGACUCUUAAUCUUGGGGUCAUGAGUUCGAGCCCCACGUUGGAUG